CGCUCUCUCUCCGUGUCCGCGUGUCCGCGUGUUGGCGUAGAGCGAGACGGCGGCGGCGGCGAGGGGCGGAGGCGGGUCAGCGAGGGGCGAGCGCGAGCCGGUGGCGGCGACCCGAGAGCGCGCACCGCCGGCGGCGACCUCGAGGAAGCCAGCGCCGGUAGCUGGCAGCGCGGAGGGGACGGCUCCGCGGCAGCUCGGCUGGGCCUGGUCUGCCGGCGGCGGCGAGGCCAGAGGCCUCCUAGACGAGGGCGGAGGGCUGCGAGAGGAGAGGAGGCCAGGAAGGGCGAGGUGGCGAGGGGCGGGGCCAGCACCGGAGCACCUUGACUUCUACUUCUCCUUACCACUGUAAUUCAGAAAAAAGGCCUUAAUACUCCGUUUUUGUUCUUUCCAACGUCGGCUUCUCGUUGGACUUGGACUAUAACUAGGUGAGGUCAGGUAAGCCUACGUCUCUAACCGUAACUAUAACUAGGUGGAGGUCAGAUAAGGCUACGUCUCUAACUGUAACUAUAACUACUACUUCGCGGUGCCGUUGGUAGUGGGGUUGUAGGUGUACGUUCCAGGAUAUUAUAAGUUUCCGAAGGUGGACUAGGUCCCCUUUCCUAAGGAUAAAGUCUAAUACUACAAUUACUAGUUCUGCUUCAAGCCUCUGCCAUGUAAUGUUUCUUACGUCAGGUUGGUAUACGUGUGUUGAAACUUCAGUUCUUUUACAUACCAUUUUUAGCUGUGAAGUUGAAACAAACCAAACUCUUGAUUUUUACCGAUCUUAUAUCACAGUUUAUACUCCGACGUAAAACGAAACACACAAUAAACAAGUUUCCGUUUAGCUUACCCCCGGGAUUCCCACUACGGAAACAAUUUCCACCAACCUUUUUAACCAUAUUCGGACUACGUAAUCUGUUUGUACUCCCACCAUAAUUGUCGUAAGUGUUGUUUCGAGUUCUCUUCAUGUUAAAUAAACACCGUGGGGUUGGUAGUUAACUAUUGUAAUACCACUCCCACCUAUUUCUCCUAAACGCAUACAUGUUCCGAUCCGACUGAAUAAGUGAAUCUACGAACUCCAAAGAAAACUUGGUUCCUAACCGUAAAGCACCUGUACUACUCUCACUUCUUAGAUCGUUAUCCCCCUUGAAACAACUUGAAGAAUUCACCGAAAGUCUUUUACUACUUCUUCAAUUAUUUGAACAAAACUUGUUACGAGGACCCUUAACGUAGAACUGAUCAGGUUUCUAUGUUUUAGUUUAUUAACUUACAACACGCCACGUUUGUUGUUUUUCUUAAUAACUUCUAUAACCACUACUGGUGAUACGUUAGGAUCGACUACUCAGAUCACUACGUAGAGUAUUUCUUGUUGAACGAGAGACGUAUGCUAAACAACUGUUUAGCCCUUCUCCUACACUCUCCAAGGAACCUCAACAAGUACAACGGUUAUGUUGAAGUAACAGUGAAUUCCUACGUUAAGUUUGAAACGAAUUUCUAGUAGUCAACUGAGGAUCAGUUUACGCACCCGUUCCUAUACUACCCCGUUCGUUGUACUUUCCCCUCUAAUUACCCAACUUUUGUAACUAGUACUUACUCAGUGGGAGACGGAUAAUGUAGGUAACAAAACGUGUAGUUGAAGUCAACCAAGAAUAUCGGCACCGAUUCCUUUUACUUGGUACAAACACCAAGAAACUAGUACAAAGAAUGAACGAGUUAUAACAACCUCAAAGAACAUUCGCGGUACUGUACGAAGCUCUACAAUCUCGAGUUUUCCAAAACCUUCGUGAACUUUAACCACUCUAACUUUCACCUUCACCCGAUUUAGUUCUCUACCCUGAUCGGUCUGGGCCGCUAUGAGCAACCCCAAGAGUAAAAUUUUGGUAAUACGUGUAACAAUCGUACAUAAGGUGUUAGGAACUUCAUGAACUACGAUAACCUUUUCUAGGAAGUGUUUUUGCACUCACCUGUUCUUAUGCACCUCAACGAGUUCGGUAACUUAGUAAACUGAAACAAAAGUUAGAAGUGAACUACGAACAAUAAGAACCGAUAUGUUUACUCAACAGGUUUAGAAACGUUUUCUCUCUAGUUCUAUAACAAUUACGUUACCGUGAACAAUCAAACCGUUUCUCAUCUUACGUUGUGAACUCCAGAGUACCAACCCUUCUUAAAGAACGUUUCGAUUGGAAUAAAACGUUGUUUGUACUGUAAGUUCAAGGAAACACCCUCCUAUGAAUACUCGUAGUACCUUCUAGUGCAGCCAUAAUACUUCAUGUUUAUUUACUACUAGCAAUAUCUUCUCUCCAUAUAGAACCACAGUAACUAGUUUGGUAAGUUCUCGAACUGUUAGCCAAACUACUCCAAUUAUGCCUCAACGAAUAAACGUACAGCCGAAACUUAGGUUAGUUGAGUAAACGAAGAAUACUACGUGAGUUCCAUUACUCUGAACGACUUAAGAUAGGGUACCUGUAUAGUUCGUGUCUAAACUAUUCCGAUCUUAAAGUUGAAUGAUGAAAGUAACUACUAUACUCUGUUCUACUAUCCAAAUCUUUACGUUCAUUAUAACCACUCGAGAGAUAAUACGAACAACGUUGUUUCUUCGUACAAGAAAUACUAAACCAGAUGAAUGAGUAGUUUAACUAUAACUAAAAUGGCCACCGCUGCCGCUCACAACUUUCUCAUAAAAGUCGAUACUUAGAUCACUUUUCAUUCAACUCCUGAUGAUACUCACUACUAGCGAACUUACUAACGAACCACUGUAAAUAACUUGCUCUACACAAGUACUUUCAUUCACUUCUACUGUAUCAACUACGAAAGUACCGUUACGUUUUUGCAUCUCAAUGGAUCACUACAUUAAAAGAUGAACACGAAGAAAACACAUUCUGAUAAGCAUAACAUUAAAGCGUAUAAACUCUAUAUAAAACACUUGAUUUAACAACACUUUAAACUUAACUCGAUA
rnacentral:rRNA from 1 species